UUCCGUAGGUGAACCUGCGGAAGGAUCAUUAAUGAAACUUCAAAGUCGGCUCGUCUGUCUGUGCUGGUGGAGACACAUGUGCACGUCGGCGAGUCGCAAAUCCACACACCUGUGCAUCUAUGACUCUGAGUACCGCUUUGCAUGGCCCUCUGGGGCCUGGUACUCGAGUACUUUACACACUCUGAAUGUAAUGGAAUGUCUUUUUGUACAAUGUACAACUAAAAACAACUUUCAACAACGGAUCUCUUGGCUCUCGCAUCGAUGAAGAACGCAGCGAAAUGCGAUAAGUAAUGUGAAUUGCAGAAUUCAGUGAAUCAUCGAAUCUUUGAACGCACCUUGCACCCUUUGGUAUUCCGAAGGGUACACCCGUUUGAGUGUCAUUGUAAUCUCACUACGACCACUUUAUUGUUGGUUUGUAUGUGGACUUGGAUGUUGCCGUGUAACAAACGGCUCGUCUGAAAUGCCUGAGUGUACCCUGCUUUUGCGGCGUAUUCGGUGUGAUAAAUCUUCACCGGAGUUGACUUUCGGGUCGCGCUUGUAUUGUCGGGCUCUACGCUUCCAACCGUCCUAACAAGACAAUCUUUGACAAUUUGACUUCAAAUCGGGUGGGACUACCCGCUGAACUUAAGCAUAUCAAUAAGCGGAGGAAAAGAAACUAACAAGGAUUCCCCUAGUAACGGCGAGUGAAGAGGGAAAAGCUCAAAUUUUGAAUCUGGUGUCUUUGACUCCCGAGUUGUAAUCUAGAGAAGUGUUUUCCGCGUUGGACCGUGUACAAGUUCCCUGGAACGGGGCGUCAUAGAGGGUGAGAAUCCCGUAUAUGCCACGGACUGCCAAUGCUCUGUGAUACACUCUCAACGAGUCGAGUUGUUUGGGAAUGCAGCUCAAAAUGGGUGGUAAAUUCCAUCUAAAGCUAAAUAUUGGCGAGAGACCGAUAGCGAACAAGUACCGUGAGGGAAAGAUGAAAAGCACUUUGGAAAGAGAGUGAAACAGUACGUGAAAUUGUUGAAAGGGAAGCGUUUGAAGUCAGUCACGUCUGUCGGAAUUCAGCCUGGCUUCUGCCUGGUGUACUUUCCGUCCGACGGGUCAGCAUCAAUUUCGACCGAGGGAAAAAGACGUGAGGAAUGUGGCUGUCUUCGGGCAGUGUUAUAGCCUCGGGUUGUAUGUCUCGGUUGGGAUUGAGGAACGCAGCGCGCCUAUUGGCCGGGGGUUCGCGCCCCUCGGUACGCGC
rnacentral:rRNA from 1 species